CCUUCUCUCCUUUCACCUUGAUGAGUGAGUCAUCCCUUCCCUCACUCGCACACAUUCACGCAAACACACUUCACCACGAAUCCUCUCCUUCCUUCCUGCUCCUUGUGUCGCCGCGCCACCGCGCCGCCAGCCGUCUCCCUCUCGCUGGCGACGCUGAUUCUGCUGCUGAGGAUGUUCGUUGUUGUUGUGUUGAUUCUGCUGCUGCUCCCCUCGUCUCUCAUUCCUCUCGUCCAAGCUUCGUGAUGCCGCCGCCAAUGGUGGCCGCUAAACCACCCUCAUCUAGACCUCAUCUUCAAUUGAAUUAUGUGUUUCUCUUUAUAGUGUACGACCUAUUUUUUUGUGAUUAUUUUACAUUUCCUUAUCUUUGCAAUUUAUAUUCUGUAAAGAAUUUAUUGGUUCUUGCUUAUAAUUCCUCAUUACUUCUUGGUCACUAGUAGAAACACCUCAAAAGCUUCCUGCCCUGAUAUUUCUAGAACUGAUAAUUUAAUACAUGAAAAGUUGAUUGUUUUUUUCUUCAAAAAAAAUUGAACUGCAGAUGCCCUGGUUAUGUGUAAAACAUGAGCAUACGAGGACUGAGUAUUGUGCAUCUAAAGCUUUUUCUUUUCUUUUUUAAAGUGUAUUUUAUAAUUUUGUUAGUUCGUCUAAGAACCGUUUCCUGGUUGCUUUAUAUGCCUAUUAUUCUCGUACUUUUGGUGGUUUGAAACACAAAUUUUUGCCGUAGUAAAUGGUAUUGUUGAAGGGUAUAGCCACAAGAAAAGUAGUAGAAGAGAAAAAAACGCACUAGUUGUAGAAGUUCCAAUACGGAGUAGUUUAUAUCAAUUGCUUGUUUAUGGGGAAGAAACGUAUUGAUUCAACUUGAAUUCUAUGGUUACUUGUACAGCGAGGGUUGGGGCAUUGUCCUAGUAACCCUGCUAAGGGAGGUUCUUUAAAGGGUCAUUUGGCGUAUUUUCCAGGGACAUGUAUAUCCAUAAAGUGGAGUUGUGGUGUCUGUAAUUAAGUUAGUUGUGAUGAUAGAUAACUCGACCCGUUUAUAAAACAAAAAUGUAAAUUAGGAGCAAUUGAUCGGAAAUUUUGUUCUGAGUGAAGAGUUGUCGGACACUGGAAGUUGUUAAGGACUAUGGGUAACAUGUUAUAUAAGGUCAAUACGAGUUGUAGAUGUGUUAAGCAAAUGUUGGGGUGGACUGUGGAAGCAAGCUAACAAACAAUCCAAUACAGAGUCCAAUUUGUUUAGCUAACUUAUCUUUAGUUUAAGCCAUGUAAUUAUUCUCCCACAAUUUAUGACUGAAGUGCGCCCAAGUCUUAUCCAUAAACAACACAUCUUACUUAUAAUAUGUUCAGUUUUUUACUUGACUGCAAAAUUUGAGAUUCUCAUGUGUCUUGUGCAAUAUUGCUGCCUUAUUUCGUAGAGUUACACUCGUUUUAUUUGAUCAGAAUUAAGCACUCAAUAUAUAUAUAUAUAUAUAUAUAUAUAAAACUAUUCUCUAAUCAGUUACACAUACUAACUAUACUCAGUGUAUGUAAUAUAAAUCUAUGACGAAAACAACUAAUUAGGUAGUUUGGAAAUCUAAUAAUAUAAGAGAUAAGAGUAGUGCGUAAUUUCAUAUGGCCUGAUAUAGCCUCAGCUGUUAGUUUUAACUCAACACAAGGAUGUUUGAUGCUCAAUGCUCCAGCGUAGGUAUUGGUUGCUGAAACUUAGCAAUUUAGCAGCAACACAAGCUUGCAAGUGUAGCAUAUUGAUGUACUUAUUUUGGUGGCACUUACAAAAUCUUAAUUUCAGGUCAUGCUUGUGCUUUCCACUUACUGCAGCAGAUUGUUCAAAGACUUCUGCCUCGAUGCUGAUACAACGCUUGCCACUUUAAGACUCACCAUGGUUGUUUUACCUUGUUUUUAACUAAUAAGAUAUUGCUUAUCUCAGGGUAUCUGACAUAUCUCAUUCUCACCCUAUUUUUUGAAAUCGUUUGCCUAAGUAGUACUCUCUAUAUGACCUUCAUGAUAAGAGUUGUUGCUGUAUUGUGUUACACACUGAUAAUAUUUGUUGUUGCUGCUGAUUUGUUGUUGGUUAUGCUGCUGCUGUGUUGCUCUCACGUUGCUGCUAUGUUGCUAUCAUGCUGCUGCUGUCUUGUUGCUGCUGUCUUGCUACUAUUGUUCUGCUGCUGCUGUCUUGCUGUUGUUCUGCUGAUAUUGCUGGUCUACAGACACUGCUGUUGUUCUGUUUUGUUAGCUUGCUUUGAAUUUUCAUUAAUUUUUGUUUAUGCACCAAUCUAGUGAAAUCUAACCAUGUAUUAAAGAUGUCAACAGUGAUAGAAAUAUCCGAUUAUACCAAUCAAGCAUCUUUUAAGACACGUUAUUUUUUUUGUUUUUUUGUUAGUUUUGGCUUGCGGGUUGUUGCAAGCCCUAGGGUGUUUAUUUUGGUUGAGGUUUAACAACAAUUGGUCCUCUUUUUGGUUAAUAAUAGUAUUUGGAGUUGAUACAUCUUUGAUUCCUA